rnacentral:tRNA from 1 species
UCCCGCUUCGUCCAAAGGCAGGACGCCGCGCUUUGACUGCGGAAACGGUGGUUCGACCCCAUGAGCGGGAACCA